UGUAGCUCAGUGGAUAGAGCAUCGGCCUCCGGAGCCGAGUGCGCAGGUUCGAUUCCUGCUAG
rnacentral:tRNA from 1 species